rnacentral:lncRNA from 1 species
GGAGGGGAAGGAGGGAGGGCCUCUUUGAAAAACCAGAGAUAUAAACGAAUGAUUCUAAUAACCCGACAUGGCAGCCCUGUUUGAAACCCCCGAACAGCAACCGGAGGGGAUCUGCCCUGGGGGUGGGGACCAGGCGGGUUUCUGGAUCCGACCCCAGGAAACCUAUUUAAUCCAGCCCAGAAUGAAGGAGAGCCCACCUGUGGAUCCUACCACUGUCGAACUGCUCUGAUGUUAGGAGGCUCUUAAGGAGCUUUGGUCCCAAAUGACUCCAUGUGGAACAAUUUUGAGAAACUUCAGGGCUGCCAUUGGUCUCCCUGGACGAGAAACACGACCCAAAUCAAGUCCUUCUGGGUCCCUCAAAGCCGCCAUCCGAAGGGACGCCUCCACCGCGGUGCCUGUUCUGACCCAGCUUCUCUCUCACUGCGGGCAAACAAGUCCAUCCCUCCAGGAGAUAAAGACAUCAGUUGCCUGCCACAUCUAUCCAUCUCUGUCCCCUGGCUUUGAUCCCCAGAGCCAGGGUGGGGCUUCGCUAGCAGCAGCGGCUUUUCCAUCCCAAGGACUGGCUCAUAGGUUUCCACUGCUCUCCUCUCCUCUGCACAUCAAGCACUGGGCCUGGAUGUUCCUCCUCUUCUCUCUUUCUCUCUUCAAUACUCUCAUCCCUCCCUCCCAUAAUGGUCUACCAUCCCUCCAUCUGAUAAUGGUUUACCAUCCACCCAUCCAUCCGAUAAUAGUCUACCUACCAUCCAUGCGCCUAUCUACCCAUCCAUCCAAUAAGAGUCUACCAUCCCUCCCUCCCUCCCUCCCUCCCUCCUCCCUCCCUCCAUCCAACCAACAACCCAUCCACCGGUCUCUCUGCCUGUCAUCCAUCCCACCAUAUCCGUCCAUCCACCCUCCCACCUCCUCAUCUACACGGAUGCUGCCUCAGCCACCGGCUACAUCGUCACUGCGUGCUCAGCCUUGUUUCAACACAAGAAAGAGUUCAGCUGGUCUCCCUUAUUGGGUGCGGGAGCAGAACGGUAGCUGACAAAGCUGCUGGUCAGAACCGGUCCAGCUC